CCAUCCAUCUCCUCGUUGUCUCGCCCGACGGAGAGAGAGAGAGAGAGAGAGCUGCCUCCUCCCUUCCAGAUCGCCACUGGCACCUCCCUCUGGCGGAGCUGGCCGCCGUCCAUGGCCUCCCUCACGCCCCUCCCCUUCCCCCACCCAACCAAACCGCACGUCCAUGGCUCGAUCUCGUCGGGAACCAGGCCACCUGCAACCACCGGCCUCCAUUGAUCCAACCAUCCAUCCAUGCCCGUAGCAGCACUCCCGCCGCCCGUGCUCCGUCCCCAGCAGCGCACCCCGACGCCUCGUCGUCCCCACACAGCCCGCGAGGCACCGGCCUUCCCAGAUCCGAUUGAGGCACCCCGCCUUCCUCUCCCUCGUCUCAGCUUUCUCCCAGAUCCGACCGAGGCAACGCCGCCACCCCACCCACCAUCGCCGAUCUCUCCCCUCGCCAUGCACCUCUCCCCUCGCCUUCCUCCUAGGCUCCAAGGCUCGACGCUCGCGAGGGGGACGCAGUGAGGCCGAGGUGGAGGACGGGGUGCCUGUUCGGCUGCUUCCGUGCGGCCGGCGGCGAGCCGCACGCCGGGCACGCCCGCGCCCAGCUCGUCUCCUCCUCCGGCGUCCCCAACCCCAAGAUGUCGUCCGAGGCGGUCAAGGUGGUGCUGCCGGAGUCAGUGCACCAGCACUCCACCGCACACAUGCGAUGACGCAGGCGGCUGCUUAGGGUUCUGGCCAGAUGUCGAAGGCGAGGCCCCGACCCGCCCCCAACCGCGCCGCCCCCGCCCGUGACGCCGUCUUUGCCGCGGAGUUCCAGAGUUCAAGGACCGAAUCAGCGACGCCGUCAGUGACAAGCAGUUUCUGGGAUGGGUGAGGAUCAUGGAGUGCUUUGGCUGUUCACAACUCGAGCGGACACGGUACUGGUCAGGUGCCAUGGUGCCUGGUGCUUGCGUGGUUAGAAGCAACCUCUGGCUAAUCCUCGGGUCAUGGAUGCCCUCUCACUCCCGUGCAUUUGUCCCACUAAACCACUGCUGUAGCUCAAAGGACACUACAAAUCUUCAAUCGUUAAUUUACUGAUUUGGUUUCCUCUGCUGGUGAUGCUUGUUCCUGAAGGCGCUGGCCAAGGAGCUGGUGCAGUCCAGGAAGGCGGUCAACCACCUCUACGAGAACAAGGCCCAGCUCAACUCCAUCUCCAUGCACCUCGGCAAGAUCGUCGGUCGGGUUGUCGCAGGUUCCAUGGAGCCCCCUCCCCUCGUCAAGCUCGGCGCCAAGAGCGAGGAGCUGCUCUUCGCCUCGCCUCGCCUCGCACAAGCAAAGUUGUCUAGUUGCAAGCAAAUAUUCAUGGAGCUCCACAUCCGAGUCUCGUCCAUCGUCGGCAGCAAGGAGCUGGGCCAAGGGGGCAAGCAGCGCUGCUGGUUACUUGGGGCACCAUGGCGUGUGGCGGCCUAUUUUGCUUCCAAGAGCAGUACUGUUUAUUUGAAAUUGAAUGAUGUACUCGGCUACCGCCUAGUAAAAAAUUGAAUGAUUGUCAUGUACUGUCUAUGAUGUAGUGAGCUUUAGGAGUGAAAUGAAAUUUUAUUUGCUGUUG